CUGCUGCCUCCCGUAGGAGUUCGGACCGUGUCUCAGUUCCAAUGUGGGGGACCUUCCUCUCAGAACCCCUACGCAUCGUCGGCUUGGUGGGCCGUUGCCCCACCAACUACCUAAUGCGCCGCAUGCCCAUCCGUGACCGGGGUCGCCCCCUUUGGCCGGCAGGGGAUGUCCCCUCCCGGCAUUAUGUUGUAUUAGGCGGGAUUUCUCCCGGUUAUCCAUCUGUCACGGCCAGGUUGCAUACGUGUUACUCACCCGUGCGCCGGUCGCCGGCGG
rnacentral:rRNA from 1 species